rnacentral:rRNA from 1 species
UACGUAGGCAGCGAGCGUUGUUCGGAAUUACUGGGCGUAAAGAGUGUGUAGGCGGUGCUCCCAGUCUGUUGUGAAAUCUCCCGGCUUAACUGGGAGGGUGCAGCGGAAACUAGAGUGCUAGAGGGUGGGAGAGGUAUGCGGAAUUCCUGGUGUAGCGGUGAAAUGCGUAGAUAUCAGGAGGAACACCUGUGGUGUAGACAGCUUACUGGACCACUUCUGACGCUGAGACACGAAAGCGUGGGUAGCAAACAGG